UACGAAGGGGGCAAGCGUUGUUCGGAUUUACUGGGCGUAAAGGGAACGUAGGCGGUUCGGUAAGACAGCUGUGAAAUCUCGAGGCUCAACCUGGAAAAGGCGGAGGGGACUGCUGGUCUCGAGGAUGGGAGAGGUGAGUGGAAUUCCUGGUGUAGCGGUGAAAUGCGUAGAGAUCGGGAGGAACGCCGGUGGCGAAGGCGGCGCACUGGAACAUUGCUGACGCUGAGGCGCGAAAGCGUGGGGAGCAAACAGG
rnacentral:rRNA from 1 species